UACGUAGGGUGCGAGCGUUAAUCGGAAUUACUGGGCGUAAAGCGUGCGCAGACGGUUUGUUAAGACAGAUGUGAAAUCCCCGGGCUUAACCUGGGAACUGCAUUUGUGACUGGCAAGCUAGAGUAUGGCAGAGGGGGGUAGAAUUCCACGUGUAGCAGUGAAAUGCGUAGAGAUGUGGAGGAAUACCGAUGGCGAAGGCAGCCCCCUGGGCCAAUACUGACGCUCAUGCACGAAAGCGUGGGGAGCAAACAGG
rnacentral:rRNA from 1 species